CGUACCCUUUGGGUCAAAAGUACAGAUACGCCAACAGCUUAAAAUAGAUAUCACAGCGGUGACAAAAUUGUUACCGCGGUGACAUUUUUGUCACUGCGGUAAUAAAUUUAUCACUGCGGUGAUAUAUUUGUAACUGUUGUGAUACUUUGUUUGACCCAAACAGUUUGAUAAGAGCUAAAUCGAACUAACCAAUGAAACAACGUCUUGCAAAACGGCAAAUCGGCGAAUAUUUACUGCGAAGUUUUCAAGAUGUCUGCCUCCAUGGAUACUGUAAACAACUUUUCAGAUCAUGAGUUUGGUAAUUUUAAUCUUCGGACACAAGGAUGACGACAAUUAAGAGUCCAUCAAUGGUUGUGAAAUCAAGGAUAUUCUAUUGGAAGGAAAGACAUGAAUGCAUUCAAGUUUCCUGUGAGCAAUAUGAUUUCCUGACUUUGCCUUACAGUAUAAAACAAGAGAGUUAAACACUUGAAACUUGAAAAGAUGUGGUCCUAGAACCUGAAAUGGCAACUCCAGCUCUCUACAAAAGCAUCAUCUGGAAUCCAACUAUGUACAAUCAAAAAAUUAAUGUGUG